GAGUCGAGGGUGUACUGAGUUUGUUUUCCUUGACUCCCGGCUGCAGCAUGAGACACUGUGUAGGUUCCGUCCCAUCUCAUGUCAAUUUGAACACCAUGGAUGUACUGCUAUAUUUUCAGUAAAGGAUAUGUGCUGGCAUCAUAAAAUGUGUAAGUUUGCUAACUACCCUCAUCCCAAUGUUCUACCGAGCAUGCCUACAAGGAAGAAGACCAAGAGCCGGGACGGAGAACC